UACGUAGGGUGCGAGCGUUAAUCGGAAUUACUGGGCGUAAAGCGUGCGCAGGCGGUUUUGUAAGACAGAUGUGAAAUCCCCGGGCUUAACCUGGGAACUGCAUUUGUGACUGCAGGACUAGAGUACGGCAGAGGGGGGUAGAAUUCCACGUGUAGCAGUGAAAUGCGUAGAUAUGUGGAGGAAUACCGAUGGCGAAGGCAGCCCCCUGGGUCGAUACUGACGCUCAUGCACGAAAGCGUGGGGAGCAAACAGG
rnacentral:rRNA from 1 species